rnacentral:rRNA from 1 species
CUGCAUGAAGUCGGAAUUGCUAGUAAUCGCGGAUCAGCAUGCCGCGGUGAAUACGUUCCCGGGCCUUGUACACACCGCCCGUCACACCAUGGGAGCCGGUAAUACCCGAAGUCAGUAGUCCAACCUCGUGAGGACGCUGCCGAAGGUAGGAUUGGCGACUGGGGUGAAGUCGUAACAAGGUAGC